rnacentral:lncRNA from 1 species
GUCCCGGUGUCGCCCGCUGGCCGCGCUCGGGCUGCCCGGGAUUCUAGCUGCCAGGCUUCGCGUCGCCGAGCGGCAGGUCAGGCUCCUCGGAGCCUCUCCCUCCUGGCCCUUUGCUUGGACUCGGCCCCAGCUGCCCUGAGGCCUACCCACUAACUCGGCUGGCGCUAGCCUACCCUGUCUUGACCGCACCCUGAAGAUUUAGGAAGUCUUUCUCCAUCCCAAGAGUCGUCUCUGCAAAAGCUAAUGUCCUUCCUGGUGCUGAACCACACUUCUGCUCAAAAUCUGUUGAGCGCCGUCUGUCUGCAAAGCAAGGUGCCAGGAGCUUUGGCGGAGAAGCCGUGGGGUACAUGCAUAAAGAGUACAGGCUUUUGGUAAAACCCGAAGUUCUCCUCUACUUUCUGGGGGACCCUGGCCGUCCUUGCUGGGCCUCCCUUGACUCCUCUAAUGGGGACGGUAAUGCCUACCUGACCGCAAGCUGAGUAACUGAGCUAUGAGAGCAAACUGUGGUGCAAUUCUAGCGUGUGCCAGCCUCUCAAGCGUCAGUUUCCGUCUCGUUCCUCUUAAUCUUCACUAAAAUCCACAAGUAUUCAUUGAGCACCUAAUGCGUGUUCAGUAUGGUGGGAGAUGAGGGAUGACUGUAUUAUUUUUCUAUUUUUAUACGUUAGACAUAGGAACAAAAAGUUGAGUCUAUUGCCCAUAGCCAACCUUGUCUUCAUUUUCUGCUGUGGUUUAGGAGUCGGUAUAGUAAGUUAAGGGUUGUUGGAAGUGCAUUUUCACAGCUCCCGACUUCCACUUAAGAAUAGAUAAUACAGGGGACUUUGCGAGCUGGUUUCUUUCCCUCUCACUUUCAGAAGGGCUUCGAGGUAGCCACCACUGAAUUAGUUGAGAGACAAGGUACCCCUCCUGAGGAAAUCUCAAUUGCACAACCCCUACUAUGCCCCAACUGAGCAGGAAGCAGUUAGAGCAGUGGUCAAACCUCCCUAACAGCACUUGGGUUUUCCUGUUGAGAGAGGGAACUGAGAGCCAGGACUAGUUGGAUUUCCUAGGCUGACUAAGAAUGCCUAAGCCUAGCUGGGAAGAUGAGCGCAUCCACCUUUAAACACGGAGCUUGCAACUUAGCUUACACCCGACCAAUCAGGUAGUAAAGAGAGCUCACUAAAAUGCUAAUUAGGCAAAAACAGGAGGUAAAGAAAUAGCCAAUCAUCUGUCGCCUGAGAGCACAACAGGAGGGACAAUGAUCAGGAUAUAAACCUAUAGGCAUUCGAACGAGCAACAGCUACCCUCUUUGGGUCCCCUCCCUUUGUAAGGGAGCUCUGUUUUCAUUCUUAAAUCUUGCAACUGCACACACUUCUGGUCAGUGUUUGUUAUCGCUCAAGCUGAGCUUUCGCUCGCCGUCCACCACUGCUGUUUGCUGCUGUCGCAGACCAGCAGCUGACUGCCAUCCCUCUGGAUCCAGCAGGGCGUCCACUGUGCUCCUG